rnacentral:rRNA from 1 species
AUUGAACGCUGGCGGCAGGCCUAACACAUGCAAGUCGAGCGAGCGGCGGACGGGUGAGUAAUGUAUGGGGACUGCCCGAUAGAGGGGGGUAACUACUGGAACCGGUAGCUAAUACCGCAUACUAUCGGAUAACCCAUAUGGGAUUAGCUCGUAGGUGAGGUAAUGGCUCACCUAGGCGACGAUCCCUAGCUGGUCUGAGAGGAUGAUCAGACAAACUGGGACUGAGACACGGCCCAGACUCCUACGGGGGCAGGAGUGGGGAAUAUGGCACAAUGGGCGCAAGCCUGAUGCAGCCAUGCCGCGUGUAUGAAGAAGGCCCUAGGGUUGUAAAGUACUUUCAGUCGGGAGGCGUGACCGACAGAAGAAGCACCGGCGAACUCCGUGCCAGCCGCCGCGGUAAUAC